rnacentral:rRNA from 1 species
CGGUAAUUCCAGCUCCAAUAGCGUAUACUAAAGUUGUUGCAGUUAAAAAGCUCGUAGUUGGAUUUCUGCGGGGACGGAGCGGCCGGUCGCAACUUGCGACUCGAGCUAGCGCUUUCCCCGCAUCCUGCCGCGAACCGUGCUACCAUUAGUUUGGUGGCGCUGGGGAUCGGCUCGAUUACUUUGAGAAAAAUAGAGUGUUCAAAGCAGGCCACACGCCUUGAAUAAGUUAGCAUGGAAUAAUGACUAAGGACUUUGGUUCUUUUCGUUGGUGUUCGGGACUGAAGUAAUAAUUGAUAGGGACAGUUGGGGCGGUCCGUAUUCCAAAGCGAGAGGUGAAAUUCUUAGACCUUCGGAAGACGAACAGCUGCGAAAGCGUUCCGCAAGGAUGUUCCCUUUGAUCAAGAACGAAAGUUGGGGGAUCGAAGACGAUCAGAUACCGUCGUAGUCUCAACUAUAAACUAUACCAGCUAGGGAUCGGCCAACGUUUAAUUAUUCGACUUGGUCGGCACCUUAUGAGAAAUCAAAGCAUCUGGGUUCCGGGGGGAGUAUGGUCGCAAGGCUGAAACUUAAAGGAAUUGACGGAAGGGCACCACCAGGCGUGGAGCCUGUGGCUUAAUUUGACUCAACACGGGAAAACUUACCAGGUCCAGACAUAGGAAGGAUUGACAGAUUGAUAGCUCUUUCUUGAUUCUGUGGGUGGUGGUGCAUGGCCGUUUUUAGUCGGUGAAGUGAUUUGUCUGCUUAAUUGCGUUAACGGACGAGACCCCAGCCUGCUAAAUAGCGCGGCCGAGCUUUGCUCGGUACGAGCUUCUUAGAGGGACCAUGAUGCGCGAUAGCACAAGGAAGUUUGGGGCAACAACAGGUCUGUGAUGCCCUUAGAUGUUCUGGGCCGCACACGGGCUACACUGGCGCCUGCAACGAGCAUAUCAGCUGGCCCGAGAGGGUCUUGGCUAAUCUUUGGAACCGGCGCCGUGCUUGGGAUUGACCAUUGCAAUUGUUGGUCAUGCAACGAGGAAUGCCUUGUAAACGCGAGUCAUCAGCUCGCAUUGAAUACGUCCCUGCCCCUUGUACACACCGCCC